rnacentral:rRNA from 1 species
GACGAACGCUGGCGGCGUGCCUAACACAUGCAAGUCGAACGGAACUGUUUUGAAAGAUUUCUUCGGAAUGAAUUUGAUUUAGUUUAGUGGCGGACGGGUGAGUAACGCGUGAGUAACCUGCCUUCAAGAGGGGAAUAACAUUCUGAAAAGAAUGCUAAUACCGCAUGACAUAUCGGAACCACAUGAUUUUGAUAUCAAAGAUUUUAUCGCUUGAAGAUGGACUCGCGUCCGAUUAGUUAGUUGGUGAGGUAACGGCUCACCAAGACCGCGAUCGGUAGCCGGACUGAGAGGUUGAACGGCCACAUGGGGACUGAGACACGGCCCAGACUCCUACGGGAGGCAGCAGUGGGGGAUAUUGCGCAAUGGGGGCAACCCUGACGCAGCAACGCCGCGUGAAGGAUGAAGGUUUUCGGAUUGUAAACUUCUUUUAUUAAGGACGAAAAAUGACGGUACUUAAUGAAUAAGCUCCGGCUAACUACGUG